CCUACGGGAGGCAGCAGUGGGGAAUAUUGGACAAUGGGCGGAAGCCUGAUCCAGCAACGCCGCGUGAGGGAUGACGGCCUUCGGGUUGUAAACCUCUUUCAGUACCGACGAAGCGCAAGUGACGGUAGGUACAGAAGAAGCACCGGCCAACUACGUGCCAGCAGCCGCGGUAAUACGUAGGGUGCGAGCGUUGUCCGGAAUUAUUGGGCGUAAAGGGCUCGUAGGCGGUUUGUCGCGUCGGGAGUGAAAACGCCGUGCUUAACACGGCGCUUGCUUUCGAUACGGGCAGACUAGAGGUAUGCAGGGGAGAACGGAAUUCCUGGUGUAGCGGUGAAAUGCGCAGAUAUCAGGAGGAACACCGGUGGCGAAGGCGGUUCUCUGGGCAUUACCUGACGCUGAGGAGCGAAAGUGUGGGGAGCGAACAGGAUUAGAUACCCUGGUAGUCCACACCGUAAACGUUGGGCGCUAGGUGUGGGAUCCAUUCCACGGGUUCCGUGCCGCAGCUACGCAUAGUCGCCCGCCGUCGGGAGGUACGGCCGCGAGACGUAAACUAAAGUAAGUAGACGCGUGAGACGNGCGAACGACGACGACGAGGGAGUAGG
rnacentral:rRNA from 1 species